rnacentral:lncRNA from 10 species
GUCCCCCAAACCCCAACCCUCCCCCAGAUAGGAGCACAAGCAGGGUGGCCAAGGAGCACCCCCCAGCUUACCCACGGACCCUGGCUCAAGACUGGUGGCCAAGGUGCACCCUCGCUGUACUAGGCAGUGGCCUCCAGUCCUGAUGCCACCGACUCUUGGGGGCAUGGCCAGUGCCCGAGGCGGAUGCGUGCGCACACAUGCUCCCAGGAGGUGUUUGUAACAACCCCAAACUGGAAAUGACCCAGAUGUCCAUCAGAGCGCAGCCUGUUCACCUGCUCUUCCAGCUUCAGCAAUUACAAACAAAGCAGUUAGAACACGUGUGUCCGUGUCUCAGAGGAGCAUGUGCUGCCACUUCUCCCGGCGUGGACUGGCUGGAUCACGUGGUUGGCGUCUGAAUUUUUCAGAAACGGCCAAACUGUUUUCCGGCAUGGCUGUGCCAUUGUGCCUCCCACCCGUGAUGGGCGAAGGGGACCCAGUGGGAAGGUGCCGUCCGUGAACCAGGGAGUGGCCUCACCAGACAUCGAAUCUGCCAGAGUGUGGAUCUUGAACGUCCCGUCCUCUGCAGCCGUGGAGAUGCGUGUCUGUUGCUUUUAUGCCGCUCAGGCCAUGGCGUUUCCGGAUAGCAGCCAGGUUGGAGGGACCCGCUGUCUCUCUGGGACCACUCUCUUCGUCGCCUGAUGUCCACCGUCUUGACAGAUGUUGUUUCCCAUAUUUCCUGGAGUUUUUUAGUUGCUAAAUCCUGGCCUCUGCUACUCUCUUUGCUAAAAAUGCUAGUCCUUGAUGAAAUGGAAUCUUGAUACUUUAAUACAGAGUGGAACAUAGUCACUAAAUAAAACCUGGAAAAAUGUAGAAGAGUAGCAGGAAGAGAACACACCCCAGCCCCGCGGUCCACCCACCCGCAGUCCCUAUCGCCACCUCCUGGCUCUGGUUUCCCUGCUCGUGGGGCUGGGCAGCAUUGCUGCAACUCUUGAUUCGCUUUCCUGGGGCCACCAUAACCAAGCAGCACAACCCGGGAGAUGGCUCAGAGUCUCUCUGCGUCCUGGGAGCCUGAGAUCCAGGAGUGGGUGGGUUGGAGAAUGGUUCUCCCUGGGUCACUCUGGAGGACCUCUUAAGGUGGACUUCUUAAGGGACCCCCGGCUCCCACCUUGCCAAAGAGCAGGCCUCCAGUUGGUGCCCACAUGCAGCCCCCGCCGUGGGGUCACCCUGGGGUAAGGGUCUCUCCUCCCCUGCUAACCUUCUGCUGGGUCUUGGCAUCCCUGGGAUGAACCCUCCUGGCCUGGACCUUGCCGGCCCACAUCAACCCCCAGCCCUCUGCUCCUUGGCCUCACCCACAGCCUGCAGAAUGUAGGUGAGUUUCCUGAUGAUAAUAUAAUAAUAGCAA